UACGUAGGGAGCAAGCGUUGUCCGGAAUCAUUGGGCGUAAAGCGCGUGUAGGCGGUCCGGUAAGUCCGCUGUGAAAGUCGGGGGCUCAACCCUCGGAUGCCGGUGGAUACUGUCGGGCUUGAGUACGGAAGAGGCGAGUGGAAUUCCUGGUGUAGCGGUGGAAUGCGCAGAUAUCAGGAGGAACACCGAUGGCGAAGGCAGCUCGCUGGGACGGUACUGACGCUGAGGCGCGAAAGCGUGGGGAGCGAACAGG
rnacentral:rRNA from 1 species